rnacentral:rRNA from 1 species
GAUCAGGCUGUUGGUGAGGUAAUGGCCCACCAAACCUGUAACCGGUACGGGCUCUGAGAGGAGGAGCCCGGAGAUGGGCACUGAGACAAGGGCCCAGGCCCUAUGGGGCGCAGCAGGCGCGAAACCUCUGCAAUAGGCGAAAGCCUGACAGGGUUACUCUGAGUGACUUUCGCUAAGAAAGUCUUUUGGCACCUCUAAAAAGGGUGCAGAAUAAGGGGUGGGCAAGUCUGGUGUCAGCCGCCGCGGUAAUACCAGCACCCCGAGUGGUCGGGACGAUUAUUGGGCCUAAAGCAUCCGUAGCCGGUUCUGCAAGUCCUCCGUUAAAUCCAGCUGCUCAACAGAUGGGCCGCGGAGGAUACUACAGAGCUAGGAGGCAGGAGAGGCAAGCGGUACUCAGUGGGUAGGGGUAAAAUCCGUUGAUCCAUUGAAGACCACCAGUGGCGAAGGCGGCUUGCCAGAAUGCGCUCGACGGUGAGGGAUGAAAGCUGGGGGAGCAAACCGGAUUAGAUACCCGGGUAGUCCCAGCCGUAAACGAUGCAGACUCGGUGAU